GUGCUCACUUCAGCAGUGCAUAUAUUAAAAUUGGAACUAUACAGAGAAGAUUAGCAUGGCCCUUACGCAUGGACGACACGCAAAUUUGUGAAGUGUAGGAAAGUUAA